rnacentral:rRNA from 1 species
UACAGAGGUCUCAAGCGUUGUUCGGAUUCAUUGGGCGUAAAGGGUGCGUAGGUGGCGCUGUAAGUCGGGUGUGAAAUUUCGGAGCUUAACUCCGAAACUGCAUUCGAUACUGCGGUGCUUGAGGACUGGAGAGGAGACUGGAAUUCAUGGUGUAGCCGUGAAAUGCGUAGAGAUCAUGAGGAAGACCAGUGGCGAAGGCGGGUCUCUGGACAGUUCCUGACACUGAGACACGAAGGCCAGGGGAGCAAACGGG